AACUUUUUCCAAAGUGUUCUGUUUUAGUUUUUUUUGACCGAGUUCUGUUUUAGUUCUGUAUAGUGCAUAUAGUGAUGAAAAUUAGCAAGUGUUUCAAGUUUAACCAAGCAUCAGAAAUUAGACUUUCUUCAACUGAUUCCUCUCUUUUCCACUCCUAUUGAUUAAAGAGAGAACCCAAAAUCACCGAGUCACUCUUUCUGCUACGCAGCUUCAUUAGUACAACUACUUCUCUCAAGAAGAAUCUGGGGUCUCAGAAUUUCAUCUAGUUAUCAUCCACGGAGAUAAUGUUUCUCUUUAGUAAUCUAAGCAUCGUAAAUUACUUUCUUGGUAUAUAUAACAACAUCGCCUUUUUUUUCUUUUUUUUUGUCAUUGGUGUCCCCGUCGUUGGGGAGUUUCUUACAGUGGGAGUUUCUUUAGUCUCUUUAGUAAUCUAAGCAUCGAAUUCUUCGACGAAAAAAUUGCAGUUUCAGAGAUUUUAUUUUAUUUUUAAAGAAACGUUCAAACAAAUUUUAAUAUAAUUCUAAUUAGUAAAACAAAAUUGAAUUAAGUUGAUAAAAUAAAAUAAAAAAAAUCUUAUAUUCAAAUCCUUAGAGAUUCUCAACACCAACUCUCUCUCAAACUAUCACUCGCUAGCUAAAGUAGUUACAAUCCUAAACUCAAAAGGCAACAUACUCCGAAUAUAAAAAUGACGAGCAAAAAAAAAAAAAAGAAAAAACAAGGCUCAAAUAAUCCUCAAAACCACUAACUACAAUUCUCAAGUGUGAAGAACCUCAUUCCCAAACGAAAGGAAUUUGCUAUUAAAAUAAGAAAGGUUCAAGGUAUGGAGCUAAGAAAACUAAAAUAUCUUUUCAACUAUUAAAA